UACAGAGGGUGCAAGCGUUAAUCGGAAUUACUGGGCGUAAAGCGUGCGUAGACGGUUAUGUAAGUCGGGUGUGAAAGCCCCGGGCUCAACCUGGGAAUGCCAUUCGAGACUGCAUAGCUAGGGUGCGGAAGAGGGAAGCGGAAUUUCCGGUGUAGCGGUGAAAUGCGUAGAUAUCAGGAGGAACACCGGUGGCGAAGGCGGGGUCUCUGGGCCGUAACUGACGCUGGAGGAGCGAAAGCGUGGGGAGCGAACAGG
rnacentral:rRNA from 1 species